rnacentral:tRNA from 1 species
GAUCCAGUAGCUCAGGGGUAGAGCACUUGACUUUUAAUCAAGGGGCCGUAGGUUCAAUCCCUACCUGGAUCA